GGAUAAUUUGCCAUACUGAGUAAAGUAAUUUGUCUGCUUAGCGUCCUAUUUUCCUUCCAGCCAUAACUAAUGUGGAAAGCUAAUAUAUUUUGCAUUUUUAUUCUACCUACACUCCAAGACUCUCAAUGUUUUUCACUUGUUAUGUGUUAGCAUAAGAAGCCUUUAAGCUACUCUGAUAACAGAAAGAUCAUAAAUUAUCUCCAUUUGCCAAGGUGGGAAAUAAAGCAACGGUGUGACAAUGUGUUCUGGCAUUCCUGGGACUGGAUUUAGAUCGCUAUAGCUCUGUGACACUAAGCACUACUUCCAUAUAUCUUUAUCCUAUCUGUUAAAAUAUGCACUUGUUUGUUUGUUUCAAUCACAGUGAUUUAACUUCAUUUUGACAGGUCUUGUGCCACUUUGUGUACCUUUGUUUUGUUUUGUUUUGUUUUUAACUCAAAAGAGGGCCACCCAUAAAUAUUUUAUUUGCCCUCUUUUCUUGUUUUGCCCAAGGAGACUCUGUGUAUUCCUGGCAGUUCCUUGGUUCACCUAUCUCUGUUAGGCUAGCUAAACCCAGGAAAAUUUGCUAGGUCUCUGUGGUAUUACAGAUGAGGCACAGGCUUUUCUGAUUAAGGUGACUGACCAGUUACACCUUGUUUUUUAGGUGUUUCAGCCUCCAAGCUGCCAUGCCACAGGUGGCUGAAGCUGCUCUGUUGGAAGGGGAAGCUGCCAGAGCUGGAGGACAUGAUGGAAGUCGGUUUCAUUUCGCAGUGAGCAGAAUUUACAAAGAGGGUGGAUCAAAAUUCAUCACUGCAGAACAGAGGUUUGUUCCAGAAAGAACAGCAUCGUUCCUCAGUUUCCAUUCCAGCUAGGAUUUUCAGCAGAAAAAUAACUAUCUGUCUCACUUAUGUGAACAAUAUCUCCUGGAAUAGAUUCUGCCAGCCCUUUUUAGGGUUUGCAAGUUUUAUAGGCUUGGAAUAGGUAAUUUUUCCCUUUCAUUUGCACUCAGCAGAGCAGAAAAUGCUGUAAGGCUAUUGAAUUAAUAGGUUAUAUAACAGCCUUGGUAUGCUUCUUAAACUCUUCUCAUCUGUGGGCAUUGAGCAUUGCCCACUUUCUGGCUGCUGUACACCCAUGGGAUAUAUACUUUAAUCCAAGAUCUUGUAACGUGGAAUCCUUAACUGAUAAGAUGGAAGAUGCUCUUGAAGGAUUAUUGAGGAUAACUGUUUUUUGAGGGCAUUCAUUUUCAGUCCCAGAUUACAAGCAUCUGUAUGGUAAUAGAAAGAGUUUAGUGAGUUGAGAAAAGGCCAAACAGGGUUAAGCAUACUGGUAUCAUGUGAGAAGUAUUUUUUGGAAGCAACAGAGCUGUGACCAGUGUUGUCAAAUAGAAACAGAACAGGUAUUGGAUGCAGAGCUGGAAGGUUUAGACUGACAGCUGGUGAGUUCAGUGGAGCUGAAAUGUUGGUUAGUUCCCCAAAGUGUAAACCAACCUUCUAGUGAAGUCUGUGUUCCACUUUUCACCCAUUUCCUUAUUACAUUGUAGAGCAACGGUGCAAGUGCUGUGUGACUCCUGAGAACCUGCAGCCAAGCAUCACUAUCUAUAUCAGCAUAGAUUAUUGUUUUUUAACUAAACACAAACCGCUUUCUAUGAGAGGUCUUGCUUGGGUGGUUUUUUGUUUGACAUCUCUGCUAAAAAAUAACUGUACCUCCAGGAAGAGGCUCGGGAGGAUGUGGUGGGUUUGACUAGCUAAAGAUAGGGAACAGCAUGAAGUUCUGGUGAUCUACUGAUACAAGGUGAAUGUGUAAUGUUGCCUGCAGUCCAGUGGUAGUGAAGAGUCCAGUUCAAGUGAACCUGAGCACUGUCUUGUAUUUGCUUCUAAUGUUGAAUAGUUUGUGCCCAGAGAGGGAAUCUUUCUUCUUAUAAUAAUACGAAAAAAAAAAAGAGAAGGAGAAACAUGCUGUUAAGUUUAAUAUAAUUUCCUUUCAGUUAUGUAUCUCAUAAAAAAAAUAUCUUGGUUUUGGGCCAAAUUCUGUAUUAGAAAAGGUAGGAGCAAACAGCAUCGUCCUGUAGAACAGAGGACAUAAGCAAGAGGUUACAAGUGGUGAGAUAGGACUGGGGAAUACAGGGAUACAAUAAAGCAUUAUUGGCUAACAGCACAGGCUGCAGUCUCAUUCACAUUGCCUUAAGGCAAGACUGACUGGCUGCUCCUUUAACAAGCUGAAGAAUAUCCACCAGAGCCUGGGGGAACCAGCAUGUUGGGGUGAUUAUUUUAAGAACAAAUGGGUGGAUAGGAGACAGAACACAUCUGCAGAAAAGUGCCACUUGAGACUCUUUUCAGAUCAGCCUCAGUCUAAACAAUACUUUUCCCGUAGGAGAAUGCACUUGUACAACUCACUGAAAUUUGGGUAAAAGAGUUUUGGAGUAACUAUAUGUGGAUAGUUGAGUCUCUUCUCCGAUUUCUGUGCUUAAAAUAGUUUAGGAUUCUGUGUCUUAUAAACAGAAUACCCAUCAUACACAGAAUCGUGGAGUUUUUACAAAUGGGGUGUUGAAAUCUCUCAGGUGGUCCAUGUACCAUCAUCUCCUUCUCAGAGUUUAAGGAAUUAAAUGGUGAUAGUCUACCCCUUGUUUUGGAUAUUAGAAUAUAAGGAACUACACAGAAUUCAGGUUCUUGCUUGACUACUGGUACAAUACGGUGAUAGAUAACUUUCUCAGUUAAGACACGUUAUUUUAAAAAAUUUCUGUAUUAUGAAUUGUAUGGUUCUGAAACAUAUUUAUUUUUCAUAUGGUAUUAUAGAAAUGCCGAAACAGGGUGUGUCACUGGGAACCAUUGCCACACACUGCCUUCCCCUUCACCCUUCCCCUCUCUUCUUUCUGAGUGAAACAAAUUUCUUCAGUUGUUGAGGUAUUUGUUUCUGGAGUAACUUCUGGUACCCCUGCUUGUCACGUGUCUUCACAAUGCCAAUUAAAAAAGAGCUAUUUUAUGUCUGUACUUCUUUAUUUCCUUGAACAGAAGGAUUAGUGACCAUAAAUAUCUCUCGUUUUUUUUUUUUGUUUUUUUAGU
rnacentral:lncRNA from 1 species